UAUAGCCGAUUGUAGUUUAAUUCAAAGCAUAACACAAGGUGUUAGAUGGACGCUAGGAAUGUUCCAUAAG
rnacentral:tRNA from 1 species